rnacentral:lncRNA from 10 species
UAAUGCAUUGACAUUUUUUUAUAUUUGGUAUUUGUAAGUCUUUAAAAAAAUGUUUUCAGGCCAUUUUUUCCUUAAAAAAAAAAAAAGCAACCAACAGCAAUACUCUGUACAAGUAUAACAAACAUUAGAAUUGGUUAUUCCUUCAUAAAACCUUGUCAACUUCAUUGCCUAUUGGAGGAUAAACUCAAAACAUCUUCAAAAUAUAACCUGAGCCACAAUAUAAAAUAAAAAGAAAAAAUCUUUUCAUGUUAAUGCCUUAAGAAGUUUACAGAUUAUGUACCAAUAAAAUAAAUCCACAUAAAUUUGAAAUUCUUGGUGGAUACACACCUGAAGCAAAAAAAAAAAAAUUAAUCUACAUUUUAAAAAUCAAAGUAAUUACAGCAGCAGUAUAGUGAAAAGGUUUUAAAAAUAAUAAUUACAUCUUUGAUACAAAUUCAAACUUUGUACACCUCAAUUCAUAGGAAUGACUGUUUUUGAGAGCUUAGUGUAUAUAUAUAUAUAUAUAUAUAUAUAUAUAUAUAUAUAUAUAUAUAUACACAGUAGAUUCCGAUAUGUGUCACGGCAGAGAGAGACGAAAGCCAGUGGACUUUGGGGAAGGAGGGAUUAAUCUGACACUGAAUUCACGCUGAAGUGUUCACAGAUUGCCACGCUUCUGAACAUACACACACACAUACAGACACAGACACAUAAAAUGCCAACCUGAGUAAAACGUUACUAAAAACCUAGAACAUCAUGAAUCACUAAUUCACAUAUUGCACCUUUAAAUAAUCCUUCAUACCAAAUACAGACAUGAGAAAAAGGAUAAUACAGGGACAAGAAAAGGAUUUCUGCCACUGUAGGAUUCCUCUGCUUCUCCCAUUCCCACCCACAGAAAUUCUCAAGGUGAUAUUUGAGUCGCCAUUCUCACCCAACCAAUGGGUUGAAAAUGUUGCCAACAGAAGAGUCUUUGGAGAAAACUGGGAGGGAAAAGGGAAGAAAAAAUGGAGCACAAAUGUACAGGGGGCAGGGGAAGCGGAGUCGGGGCAAAGAGGCCUCCCCUGAUCAAAUGAGAACAGAA